UAUGCGGGGAUAAAGUGAGUCACGUGUGGCUUAUUGCAGGUACCGCAUGAAUAAGGACCGGCUAAUUCCGUGCCAGCAGCCGCGGUAAUACGGAAGGUCCGGGCGUUAUCCGGAUUUAUUGGGUUUAAAGGGAGCGUAGGCCGUCUGAUAAGCGUGUUGUGAAAUGUCGGGGCUCAACCUGGGCAUUGCAGCGCGAACUGUGAGACUUGAGUGCGCGGGAAGUAGGCGGAAUUCGUCGUGUAGCGGUGAAAUGCUUAGAUAUGACGAAGAACUCCGAUUGCGAAGGCAGCCUGCUGUAGCGCAACUGACGCUGAAGCUCGAAAGCGUGGGUAUCGAACAGGAUUAGAUACCCUGGUAGUCCACGCGGUAAACGAUGGAUGCUCGCUGUUUGCGUCUGACGUAAGCGGCCAAGCGAAAGCGUUAAGCAUCCCACCUGGGGAGUACGCCGGCAACGGUGCAACUCAAAUGAAUUGACGGA
rnacentral:rRNA from 1 species